rnacentral:rRNA from 1 species
AUUGAACGCUGGCGGCAUGCCUUACACAUGCAAGUCGAACGGUAACAGGUCUUCGGAUGCUGACGAGUGGCGAACGGGUGAGUAAUACAUCGGAACGUGCCCGAGAGUGGGGGAUAACGAGGCGAAAGCUUUGCUAAUACCGCAUACGAUCUCAGGAUGAAAGCAGGGGACCGCAAGGCCUUGCGCAUACGGAGCGGCCGAUGGCAGAUUAGGUAGGUGGUGGGAUAAAAGCUGACCAAGCCGACGAUCUGUAGCUGGUCUGAGAGGACGACCAGCCACACUGGGACUGAGACACGGCCCAGACUCCUACGGGAGGCAGCAGUGGGGAAUUUUGGACAAUGGGCGCAAGCCUGAUCCAGCCAUGCCGCGUGCAGGAUGAAGGCCUUCGGGUUGUAAACUGCUUUUGUACGGAACGAAAAGACUCCUUCUAAUAAAGGGGGUCCAUGACGGUACCGUAAGAAUAAGCACCGGCUAACUACGUGCCAGCCGCCGCUGUAAAAC